rnacentral:rRNA from 1 species
CAAGUCGAACGGGAAUCUUCGGAUUCUAGUGGCGGACGGGUGAGUAACGCGUAAGAAUCUAACUUCAGGACGGGGACAACAGUCGGAAACGACUGCUAAUACCCGAUAUGCCGCGAGGUGAAACCUAAUUGGCCUGAAGAAGAGCUUGCGUCUGAUUAGCUAGUUGGUGGGGUAAGAGCCUACCAAGGCGACGAUCAGUAGCUGGUCUGAGAGGAUGAGCAGCCACACUGGGACUGAGACACGGCCCAGACUCCUACGGGAGGCAGCAGUGGGGAAUUUUCCGCAAUGGGCGAAAGCCUGACGGAGCAACGCCGCGUGAGGGAGGAAGGUCUUUGGAUUGUAAACCUCUUUUCUCAAGGAAGAAGUUCUGACGGUACUUGAGGAAUCAGCCUCGGCUAACUCCGUGCCAGCAGCCGCGGUAAUACGGGGGAGGCAAGCGUUAUCCGGAAUUAUUGGGCGUAAAGCGUCCGCAGGUGGUCAGCCAAGUCUGCUGUCAAAUCAGGUUGCUUAACGACCUAAAGGCGGUGGAAACUGGCAGACUAGAGAGCAGUAGGGGUAGCAGGAAUUCCCAGUGUAGCGGUGAAAUGCGUAGAGAUUGGGAAGAACAUCGGUGGCGAAAGCGUGCUACUGGGCUGUAUCUGACACUCAGGGACGAAAGCUAGGGGAGCGAAAGGGAUUAGAUACCCCUGUAGUCCUAGCCGUAAACGAUGGAUACUAGGCGUGGCUUGUAUCGACCCGAGCCGUGCCGAAGCUAACGCGUUAAGUAUCCCGCCUGGGGGAGUACGCACGCAAGUGUGAAACUCAAAGGAAUUGACGG